GCGCCAGUGGCGAAAUGGCAUAGAGCAUUCAUGUCCGUACAAGAGGUGCGGGUUCGAGUCCCGCCUGGCUCU
rnacentral:tRNA from 1 species